GGAGGGUGCGAGCGUUGUCCGGAAUCACUGGGCGUAAAGGGCGCGUAGGUGGCCGAGCAAGGUCACGGUGAAAGCCCGGGGCUCAACCCCGGGUCGGCCGUGGCAACUACUUGGCUGGAGCACUGUAAGGGCGGGUGGAAUUCCGGGUGUAGCGGUGGAAUGCGUAAAGAUCCGGAAAAACACCGGUGGCAAAGGCCGCCUGCUGGGCAGGAAGACGGAGCAAUCCCUCAGCUGACACUAAGGCGCGACAUCGUGGGGAGCAAACAGGAUUAGAUACCCUGGUAGUCCACGCCGGAAACAAUGGGCACUACAUGCUUGGGGGAGCGACCCUCCGAGUGUCGGCGCUAACGCAUUAAGUGCCCCGCCUGGGGAGUACGGCCGCAAGGCUG
rnacentral:rRNA from 1 species